CCACAUUUCCCUCUCAAUUUCUGGGCGCAACACAUUCACUCCUACAAACUUCUGACAAUUCGUAUCAUACCUAUCUGAUUCUCCCUUGCCUUUCUCUCUCUCCCAAGUUUUCUUUUUUCUUUUUAAUUCAUUUCUUUUGUGGAAUUUGUUGUAAAGCUAUAUGGAAGGGAGUGAUGGAAGGAAAAGGGAGAGAAAAAACACAGACCAGGCCAGGACCCCAAGGACAACGAGGGGACAUAAGUAUUUUUUUUUUUAAAAGGAGAAAACUCGGCUUUGUAACUUUGUUUGUGCAUUAUGAGGAUUGCUUUUAGCAUAUUUCAUGUUCCUUGGUGAAAUACGAUCAUUACCACCAUUGUUCCAUAAUUAUGGCUUCUCCUUGGUUUUAUCUUCUCUUCUUUUUCUCUUGUUCUGGACUCUGUUUCUCUUACGAGCCUCGCAACCACGAAGUGGAAGCAUUGAUAAGCAUAAGAGCAUCUCUGAGUGAUCCACAUGGGGUAUUAAGCAACUGGGAUGAAUACUCAGUAGACCCUUGUAGUUGGGCUAUGAUCACUUGCUCUUCUGAUUCCCUUGUUGUAGGCUUUGGAGCUCCAAGUCAAUCUCUUUCUGGAACCUUAUCUUCUGCCAUAGGAAAUCUGACAAAUCUUCGACAAGUGUUACUGCAGAACAACAAUGUAUCCGGCCAAAUCCCGCCGGAACUUGGUACCCUUUCUAAGCUACAGACUUUAGAUCUUUCCAAUAAUCGAUUCUCUGGUGUGAUUCCCGGUUCUUUAAGUCACUUGGAUAAUCUUCAGUAUUUGAGGCUGAACAACAACACCUUAUCUGGGCCCUUUCCUGUGUCACUAGCCAGCAUCCCUCAACUUGCUUUCCUAGACUUGUCUUAUAACAAUCUCAGUGGACCCGUACCGAAGUUUCCAGCUAGAUCACUCAAUGUUGUGGGGAACCCAUUGAUUUGUGGAAGAAGCUCUACUGAAGGUUGCUCAGGAACUACAACCCUCUUGCCUGUUUCAUUUUCUCUUCCAUCCUCACAAGGGAAGCACAAGUCCAAGAAAAUAGCAAUUGCACUUGGGAUCAGCCUUAGCUUUGCUUUUCUCAUACUGCUGUCUCUAGGGUUCUUCUGGCAUAUAAAGAAAAGACAGCACCGGGCGCUUCUGUAUGUCAGUGAUUAUCAAGAAGAUGGGCUUGUUCACUUGGGGAAUCUCAACAUUUUCACUUUCAGAGAGCUUCAACAUGCAACAGAUAAUUUCAGCUCCAAGAACAUUCUUGGUGCUGGAGGUUUUGGCAAUGUUUAUAGGGGAAAGCUUGGAGAUGGGACACUGGUUGCUGUGAAGAGGCUGAAAGAUAUCACUGGAAGUGCUGGGGAAUCGCAGUUUCGAACUGAAUUAGAGAUGAUCAGUUUGGCAGUUCACCGCAAUUUACUUCGCUUAGUUGGAUUUUGUGCUACUUCUAAUGAGAAGCUUCUGGUUUAUCCUUUCAUGUCUAAUGGAAGUGUGGCAUCCAGACUUAGAGGCAAACCUGCUCUAGAUUGGAACACAAGAAAGAGGAUAGCGAUCGGAGCUGCCAGAGGUCUUCUGUAUCUGCAUGAGCAAUGUGAUCCAAAGAUAAUACAUAGAGAUGUUAAGGCUGCUAAUGUGCUUCUGGAUGAGUACUAUGAAGCUGUUGUUGGUGAUUUUGGCCUUGCAAAGCUCCUUGAUCAUGCUGACUCUCAUGUUACUACUGCUGUUCGUGGCACGGUAGGCCACAUUGCACCAGAGUACCUCUCCACCGGCCAAUCAUCUGAGAAAACUGAUGUAUAUGGAUUUGGCAUUCUCUUAUUGGAGCUCAUAACUGGAAUGACGGCUCUUGAGUUUGGAAAAACAGUGAAUCAGAAAGGUGCAAUGCUAGAGUGGGUGAAGAAAAUACAGCAAGAAAAGAAGGUGGAAGUGUUGGUGGACAAGGAGUUAGGAAGAAACUAUGACAGGAUAGAUGUGGGAGAGAUGUUGCAAGUAGCUUUACUUUGCACUCAGAGUCUACCGGUCCACCGCCCCAAAAUGUCAGAAGUGGUCAGAAUGCUCGAAGGUGAUGGCCUUGCCGACAAGUGGGCAGCUUCACAAAAUCAUGACAACCUCAACAUGAACACCACCUUUCACAGCCACAGUAACAAUAGUUCAUCUUCUCGCCCAAGCACCACUCUUUCUUCAAAAUUUGAUGAUGAUGAUGAUGAUGAUGAUGCUCAUGAUCGUCGUCCCAGCAUGUUUGGCAUGGGACUGGAUGCUGAUGAUGAUGAUGAACACUCUUUGGAUUCCUAUGCCAUGGAACUCUCUGGUCCUAGGUAAACAGAUAAUGGAGAGAAAUUAGAGAAAGAACCAAAAGAAAGGGGGAAAAAAGAAGAAAAAGGAAGGAGGGAGGAUUAUUUUUUUUUUUUCCAUAAUCACAAUUCUUUAAUUAAAGCAAGUCGUACAUCUCCAUGAAGCAGGAGGGAAAGAAUAUCAUGAGAUUCUUUGCUCUCAAGAACAUAAUCAUCAUCAUUAUCAGAGGGUGUCUCUCUUGCAGUUCCAGGGUUUGGUAUUGACUGGUUUGAGAGAAGAAAGCAAUGGACUUUACUAUGUCUGGACUCUGGUCUUGUGGGAUGUUGUUGAAGUUGAUGUUGAAAGCAAGGAGAGGAUUGAAGAAGGUUGCUGUGAAAGAGGUCAUUUUCUAUCUGAUGCUUUUGCAGGUCACGCGCACUGCUUUUUCCUCAGUGAGCUUCUUUUCACAGUUUACUUUUGUAUGGUGAUUUCUCACAACAUUUUCUUUUUUAACCUCAAAAUUGUCUUGUACUGUUUUGCUA